CUUGCAGGAGAUCCUCACUGAGGCCCCAGGCUUCUUCACCUCAGCUCCAGACUGCACCAGCUGCACCUGGGAGUGGGCACCUGUGGAGAAGACACAGGAGUGGGUGAAGUCUCACAUGACUGGCCUGGUUUCUCCCUCAGCCCUGGGACUGGGGAGUCCCUUACCUGUUGCUGCUGCCACCAAGAAAAGGAUGCUCCAGGUCCAGUCCAUGGUGAGGAGCUGUGAUCUAGGGGAUUCUCCCAAGGAGGGGUGUGGU
rnacentral:lncRNA from 1 species